GAAAUCUCUGAGCUUCCACUUUUUUAGGUCAAACCCUUAUCAUAGAUUUGGUAUUGAUGAAAUGAUACAGCUCUAAGAAGAUGCUUAGUAAAGAUUAACUUCUCUCCUCACUUCCUCGACAGGAUUUCUUCAACCUGCCCACAUCAAUCUGAAAUUACUAGAUACAAGGAUUGCAUCCUGUGUGGCUGUGUUUUGUUGAGGCGAUCAGCUUUUGGGCAUUGGUCAGUAGUCCAAAGUCAAGGAAUUGAUGGAAGAUGGAUUCAGAAACAGUUGCUCAUUUCCUGUAUACACAGUGAAUACAGCUACUUCACACUGGUCUGGGAGAAGCAGAUUGCCCAGGAGCUUACACUGAAGGGAGGUACCACUGUAUGAACAACUGCAGGAAAACAAUUCUUCCAUGGAAGCUUAUACAAAGCACAGGAAGCCUCUGGAAGCAUGUGAGCUGGUGGAAUUGGGGAAAGUCAGGAAUAUGUAUUCAUGGAGAAGAGAGCAUAGGAGCUGAGCCUUGCUUGAGGCAGGAGUUUUCCAGGCAGCUGAGCCAAGGACAUAAUGGAGAAAGACAUUGUAGACCUGGGAGUGGACCACCUGCAUCACCUGGAACCUGUGAAUAUGUUACCUUACAAGGCAAAAGGGACUUUGCAGCUGUGGUUAAGGCUACAGUUAAGGCUUUCCAUUAAUGAUGGAACCUUUUCCCAUUGGUUUAGAGAGAAAUGCUCUUGUGAAAACAAAGUCAAAGGGAUGGUAGUGUGAGGAAGGCUCAAAAUCCUGUUGCUGUUUUUGAGAUGUAAGGGUUUAUGUUCAGGAACCAGUGAAAGGACUCUAGGAGCUAAGGGGAGCCCUCAGCUAGCAACCAGCAUGGAAACAGAGACCUCAGUCCUACAACCACACAGAAUGGAAUUCUGCCAAGAGCUGAAUGGGGCAAGAAAGAGAUUCAUUUUCACACUCUAUAAGACAGAACAUAAUCCUGCCAACACAUUCAGUUCAGCCCAUACUGGACUUCUAACCUACCAAAUUGUAAAAUUAUUAUUGUUAUUUUAUACAUCUACAAUUGUGGUAAUUUUUUAUUACAGCAUUAGAAAAUGAAGGAAAACUGCCACAAUUAGUGAAUUGUAGCAAGUGGAAGCUCAAACUCAGUCUGAUUCUAGGGUAUGUAUAUGGCUAAAUCAUAAUUUAUUUAACCAGUUCAUAUCAAUGGGCAUUUCAGUUGCUUUCAGUUUAUACUACUUCUGACACUGGAACAUAUCUUCUCAUACUUACAUCUUCAUACAUUUUAGUUGAAAUUUUAAUAGGGAAAUUCCUAAAAAUGAAAUUAUUGGGUCAAAGGAUAUGAACACUGAACUUUUGAAAAAUAAAUACCAUCGAGUUACCUUGUAAAAUGUUCCCAAAGCAGAGUGUAGACAAGAACUAAAAUCAGUAGAAAAAGAAAGAAAAAGUAUGGGUGGAUAUGGCUCAUUGAUGACCAUCUCAGUAAAGUGAAAGACUGAAAUGACCACAUGACAAAAAGUCCCUUUCGCCUUGAGAGCCUGAGGGCAUCCGUUCCCAGAAAGCCCAUCUGGCUCUGUCAUCUCUAUCUCUAUGUGCUUUGUGGGUAAAUUAUUUUCUUUAUGUUUUUACUUCUGGCUUAUGCUAUUUGGCCCUUGAAGUAAUAAAGGCUAACAAAAAUAGCUUUCUGAGUAAAUAUCCCUCAUGUUGCAUAUCCAUUCAAAAGGCUAUGUCACUUCAAACUGAGACCAGUUUCCCAUGUGCACAAUUAGACACUAAUACAAAUUGCCUUCAUUAAUUUUGAAUGCUAGGCUUACCAGCAGGGCCCUGGAAUCCAACUGUUGGAGAAAUCACUGAUUAAAGAAAAUUAAUGCACCAGCCAGCUCAAGUGCAAGGACCCAGUGACUAGCUGACAUUUUAUGGGAGUCCAGGAAGGGGGCCUCCACUGGGUUGUAAUGGCCAGUUCCUCUCAUCAUUCUACAUCAGAACAAACCCAUUUACGUUAACAGGUGAAAUCCAGGCUUUAAAACACAAGGGAUUUUUCUUUCUGGAAGUAACUUUUACUUUCUUAGGGCUUUCUAACUUAAUUUUUUCACUUGGAAAGUGGUCUCUCUGUCUCUGCCUUUCUCUGUCUCUGUCUCUCUGUUUCUCCCUCCCCCUCUGUCUCUCUCUGUGUCAUUCUAUAGUUAAAAGCCAGUAGAUGGUCUCAGUUUUGUUAGCAACAUCCAAAACUUCAUAGUCAGAAGCUGUAUAUGUCUUCUUUUCUUCAUCAGGUCUGACCAAGGUGCCAAUUUGGGCCAUGUCAUUGUCACACAGCUUCCUCCCAGAAGGUUUAGCCUGGUGCACGUUGGCCAGGACUUUCACAGGGAACACAAAACUGUUGUCUUCUGUCUUCUGUAUGGCUAAUUCAGUGAUCAGAGGGAAUUUGAUAGCACAGUGGUCAAGCCUGUUUCUCCAGAGGGUGCUUUUCAGAGGAAAUGUGGAGCCUUGGAGCCAUAGUGUCUUGGUACACCAGAAGGUGGAUGUGAUAGGGUUUUUUUCUAUCUAUCGAUCUAUCUAUCUAUCUACCCACCUAUCUAUCAUCUGUCUACCUAUAUCUAUUUAUUGGUGGCUGUGGAUGCCUUUCAGCAUGCCUUCUGGGCCUUUUCUUUGGCUUUUCGAGGAACAGGUGCUUCCUUCUGUGCUUUUGGAGCCAUUUCGCUUGGAAAAGCUGACAAGUAGUCUCUUUCUUUUUUUUUUUUCUUUUUCUUUUUUUUUUUUUGGUACCAGGGAUUGAACUCGGGUCCUUGUGCUUGCAAGGCAAGCAACGGAACCACUGAGCUAAAUCCCCAGCCCACAGGUAGUCUCUUUCAAUCCUGAUUUGCACCAAUGCUUUUGUUAAGCGUCUAUAUUUGAUAGCAUCCUUUUUUCCCUUUGUUCCAGAACUUUUUUUUCUCUCAUUCUACUCCCUUGAGGGUUUGGGUUUUCUCUGUAGGCUGUGAUUUUUAGUAAUAGGAGACUGGAGUUGUGAAGCCCUUUGACUACAUUGUUGAGCUUUUUUUCCCCCCUCUUUGUGCUCAACUGCUUGAUCCUGGGACAUUGUAAAAAAAAUCCUCUUUGCUAUGAAACAGGAAAAUGUCUAGUUAAUGAUGUUUAUUUGUUAUCUAUUUUUGCUUCAUUUUACCUUAAAAAACUAGAGUGGAAAAUUUGAAUUCUGACAAAUUUUAAGGUAUUAUAAAAAGUAAUAGCACCUACUUAUUGAACACUCACCAUCUGCCUAACACUAUUAAUUUUUUAAAACCGCAUUAACUUAUUAAAGUCCUUAAGGCCAUUAUUCUGUGAGGCAGGUGCUACUAUUAACCCUUCCACUAUUGAGGAAAUUGAAGUUUCAAGAAGUUAGACAACUUGCUGACAGCUAUGCAGUACUAAAUGAUACAGCUGAGAUUCAAAUGCAAGCUUAUUUGACCAGUUUGUACUUGUAACCCCUGUAUCGUAAUUUUCCUUGGCAUUUCAAAUUAUUUGUAAGCAAUGUUUCCAGAGACAUUUUAAGUUAGAUAAAUUAAACAAAGAGCUACUUAGCAGUGGUGAAAUAUGAAGUAUAUUGGGAUAGAGUCAGGAUAGUGAGUCUUGCCUCUGUCCUGAACAAGACCAGCAAGUCCCUGGGAAAGUUGUUGCUCCAGUCCCUGCCCAUGCAUCUCAUCCAUAAAAAUGUCAGUCUUCUAUCAUUCUCAACAAAACUUGAUUUCCUCUUCUUUAAUUUUUUCUAUACAAAAAUAGAUUAAACCUGCCACUCCCAUAUAAUCUGUGACAAUUAGGCCUGGUAUCAGAUGAGUCAAUUGGCACAGGGCUCCUUCUCCUGAAACAGAAAGAAAAGGCAAUGAUUAAAUGCCACCCCCUUGGCAGAAAGCAAGCUAAGCACAAUGACUCAAGUUCAAAGCCUAGAAAAUCUUGGCGGAAACAGGGUGGAUAUAUUCCUCUGUCUCCAAUUUUCUCUGUGUGUAUUCAUCAUUGACCAUAGAAAUGUGGAUGAACAUGUGACUCAUAAUUAGUCAUCACCUAAACUUGCUUAAGCCAUUGUGGGGUAAUAAUGCUACCAUACUUGUCCACCUAGAAAUGAGACUCAGCCAUAGAGAAGAUUUGCUAACUUUCUCAAAUACUGUAUGCAUCUUUAUAACAUAGUUUUAUUCUAUCACAUGUAUUAUGGGCUGAACUAUGUCCACACCACCCCUGAAUUCAUAUGUUGAAGUUCCAAACCCCAGUAUCUCAGAAUGUUACCUUGUUUGGUCCUUAAAAAUGUUAUUAAGGAAAAAAAAGGUUAUAUGAUGGCCCCUAAUCAAAUAUGACUAGUGUUCUUAUAAGAAAUGGCAAUUUGGACACAAUCAACACAUAGACUGAGGGGCAAUCCUUUGAGGAGACAGAGAUAAAGUGGACAUCUACAAGCCAGGAAUUGAGGCCUCAGGAUAAAAAUAAAACUGUUGAUACCUUGAUCUUGGACCUCUAUCUUCUAUUUCUAUUAUUUAAUCAACUCAGUCUGUGGUAUUUUGUUAUGACAGCUCUAACAAACUAGUCCACCAUGCUUUAAAUUUGGGAUUGUUUUAAAGUUUCUCUCUUACUUUCUAGAAUUCCUUCACCUUCCUUAAAUUUUUUUUCUUUCUUUAUUUGGUUGUGCAAUAAGUUAUACUGAUGUAUCUAACUCAUCCAUGUACUGAGAUACCGAGACUUCACAGAUGUUAAUGGUUUUUGAAGAGUAUCCAGGGUUUGAGGUAAUUCUUGAUGGGUACUUUAAACAUGGCUUUUGUUUCUACACCCUGUAAAAUCCUUCUCUUUUUAUUGCUCACUUUUGUAUGUCAGUUCCCAAAUAGAUUAUUAAUUUUAUAACUAAUAAAAUAAA